UAGAGUUUCCUCGUCCGGUU
rnacentral:snRNA from 1 species